rnacentral:tRNA from 1 species
GGGCGGUUAGCUCAGUUGGUAGAGCGCUUCGUUUACACCGAAGACGUCGGGGGUUCGAGUCCCUCACCGCCCA